AGAGUUUGAUCCUGGCUCAGGAUGAACGCUAGCGACAGGCUUAACACAUGCAAGUCGAGGGGCAGCGGGGAGGUAGCAAUACUUCCGCCGGCGACCGGCGCACGGGUGAGUAACACGUAUGGAACCUGCCCGUAGCAGGGGGAUAAGCGGAAGAAAUUCCGUCUAAUACCGCGUAAUAAUUCCGAGAGGCAUCUCAUGGGGUUUAAAGGGUAAUACCGGCUACGGAUGGCCAUGCGGCGCAUUAGCUAGUUGGCGGGGUAACGGCCCACCAAGGCGACGAUGCGUAGGGGUUCUGAGAGGAAGGUCCCCCACACUGGUACUGAGACACGGACCAGACUCCUACGGGAGGCAGCAGUGAGGAAUAUUGGUCAAUGGGCGCGAGCCUGAACCAGCCAAGUCGCGUGAGGGAAGACGGUCCUAUGGAUUGUAAACCUCUUUUGUCGGGGAGCAAAAGACGUCACGUGUGGCGUUCCGAGAGUACCCGAAGAAAAAGCAUCGGCUAACUCCGUGCCANCAGCCGCGGUAAUACGGAGGAUGCGAGCGUUAUCCGGAUUUAUUGGGUUUAAAGGGUGCGCAGGCGGA
rnacentral:rRNA from 1 species